rnacentral:rRNA from 2 species
GAACGCUGGCGGCGCGCCUAACACAUGCAAGUCGAACGGAGUCAAGAGGAGCUUGCUUUUCUUGACUUAGUGGCGAACGGGUGAGUAACGCGUGAGUAACCUGCCCUGGAGUGGGGGACAACAGUUGGAAACGACUGCUAAUACCGCAUAAGCCCACGGAUCCGCAUGGAUCUGCGGGAAAAGGAUUUAUUCGCUUCAGGAUGGACUCGCGUCCAAUUAGCUAGUUGGUGAGGUAACGGCCCACCAAGGCGACGAUUGGUAGCCGGACUGAGAGGUUGAACGGCCACAUUGGGUCUGAGACACGGCCCAGACUCCUACGGGAGGCAGCAGUGGGGGAUAUUGCACAAUGGGGGAAACCCUGAUGCAGCGACGCCGCGUGGAGGAAGAAGGUUUUCGGAUUGUAAACUCCUGUCGUAGGGACGAUAAUGACGGUACCUAACAAGAAAGCACCGGCUAACUACGUGCCAGCAGCCGCGGUAAAACGUAGGGUGCAAGCGUUGUCCGGAAUUACUGGGUGUAAAGGGAGCGCAGGCGGACCGGCAAGUUGGAAGUGAAAACUAUGGGCUCAACCCAUAAAUUGCUUUCAAAACUGCUGGCCUUGAGUAGUGCAGAGGUAGGUGGAAUUCCCGGUGUAGCGGUGGAAUGCGUAGAUAUCGGGAGGAACACCAGUGGCGAAGGCGACCUACUGGGCACCAACUGACGCUGAGGCUCGAAAGCAUGGGUAGCAAACAGGAUUAGAUACCCUGGUAGUCCAUGCCGUAAACGAUGAUUACUAGGUGUUGGAGGAUUGACCCCUUCAGUGCCGCAGUUAACACAAUAAGUAAUCCACCUGGGGAGUACGACCGCAAGGUUGCAACUCAAAUGAAUUGACGG